rnacentral:rRNA from 1 species
CCCUUAGAUGUUCUGGGCCGCACGCGCGCUACACUGAUGCAUUCAACGAGCCUAUCCUUGACCGACAGGUCCGGGUAAUCUUUGAAUCUGCAUCGUGACGGGGAUAGAUUAUUGCAAUUAUUAAUCUUCAACGAGGAAUGCCUAGUAGGCGCAAGUCAUCAGCUUGCGUCGAUUACGUCCCUGCCCUUUGUACACACCGCCCGUCGCUCCUACCGAUUGAGUGUUCCGGUGAAUAAUUCGGACUGCAGCAGCGUGGGGACUCCUCAUGCUGCAGCGGAAAGUUUGGUGAACCUUAACACUUAGAGGAAGGAGAAGUCGUAACA